rnacentral:lncRNA from 1 species
GCAAAUCUUUUGGAAAGACAUCAGCGUACUCCUGCAAAAUGUUAGCAACCGCAGGGGGAAUAUCCAAAGAUGGUGCAUCAUCAAGUGAAACGAGCACACUAGAGCAUAUAAGGGCAUAGCAUGGCAAAGGAGCAUCGCGUAACUCAUCAAAAUCAGCACGUGUGGCAAGCAAAACAGGAGCAUGCAACUUGAUUUCAGAAUUAACAGAUGGCGAUGUGUCAAGUUGUUUACCAAUUUUAGCAGCUCUAGCAAGAUCAUCUUUAAGAAUUUGUUCAGGUGUCAUUGGAUGUAUAAUUAUUUUCUGACCCUUAAACAUGAAAGAAUAGUGAUUUGAACGACCAUGAUGCAAGCUAUCAGUAUCAUAUUGCCAAGGUCGCCCAAGUAACAGAGAGCAUGCUU